ACUCCUACGGGAGGCAGCAGUGGGGAAUAUUGCACAAUGGGCGCAAGCCUGAUGCAGCCAUGCCGCGUGUAUGAAGAAGGCCUUCGGGUUGUAAAGUACUUUCAGCAGUGAGGAAGGUGGAUAUGUUAAUAGCAUAUUCAUUUGACGUUAGCUGCAGAAGAAGCACCGGCUAACUCCGUGCCAGCAGCCGCGGUAAUACGGAGGGUGCGAGCGUUAAUCGGAAUUACUGGGCGUAAAGCGCAUGCAGGUGGUUUGUUAAGUCAGAUGUGAAAGCCCGGGGCUCAACCUCGGAAUUGCAUUUGAAACUGGCAAACUAGAGUACUGUAGAGGGGGUAGAAUUUCAGGUGUAGCGGUGAAAUGCGUAGAGAUCUGAAGGAAUACCGGUGGCGAAGGCGGCCCCCUGGACAGAUACUGACACUCAGAUGCGAAAGCGUGGGGAGC
rnacentral:rRNA from 1 species